CCUCUCUUCAUCUCUCUCCCUCCCUUUAUAUCUCCCUCCCUCUCUUUAUAUCUCUAUCACUCUCUUUAUAUCUCCCUCUCUUCAUCUCUCUCCCUCCCUUUAUAUCUCUCUCCUUCUCUUUAUCUCCCUCUCUUUAUAUCUCCCUCUCUUUAUCUCUCUCUCCCUCUCUUUAUAUCUCCCUCUCUUUAUCUCUCUCUCCCUCUCUUUAUAUCUCCAUCUCUUUAUCUCUCUCUCCCUCUCUUUAUCUCUCUCUCCCUCUCUUUAUAUCUCCCUCUCUUUAUAUAUCUGUCCCUCUCCUUAUAUCUCUCUCCCUCUCUUUAUCUCUCUCUCCCACUCUUUGUUUCUCUCUCCCUCUCUUUAUAUCUCUCUCCCUCUCCUUAUAUCUCUCUCCCUCUCUUUACAUCUCCCUCUCUUUAUAUCUAUCUCCCUCUCUUUAUAUCUCCCUCUCUUUAUCUCUCUCUCCCUCUCUUUAUCUCUCUCUCCCUCUCUUUACAUCUCCCUCUCUUUAUAUCUCUCUCCCUCUCUUUAUAUCUCUCUCCCUCUCUUUAUAUCUCUCUCUCUCUCUUUAUAUCUCUCUCCCUUUUUAUAUCUCUCUCUCUUUAUAUCUCUCUCCCUCUCUUUAUAUCUCUCUCCCUCUCUUUAUAUCUCUCUCUCUCUCUUUAUCUCUCUCCCUCUCUUUAUAUCUCUCUCCCUCUCUUUAUAUCUCUCUCCCUCUCUUUAUAUCUCUCUCCCUCUCCUUAUAUCUCUCUCCCAGUCUUUACAUCUCCCUCGCUUUAUAUCUCUCUCCCUCUCUUUACAUCUCCCUCUUUAUAUCUCUCUCCCUCUCUUUAUAUCUCCCUCUCCUUAUAUCUCUCUCCCUCUCUUUAUCUCUCUCUCCCUCUCUUUAUCUCUCUCUCUCUCUCUCCUUAUAUCUCUCUCCCUCUCUUUAUCUCUCUCUCUCUCUCUUUGUAUCUCUCUCCCUCUCCUUAUAUAUCUCUUCCUCUCUUUAUCUCUCUCCCUCUCUUUAUAUCUCCCUCUCUUUUUCUCUCUCCCUCUCACUCUUUAUAUCUCUGUCUCUUAUUCCUUUUCUCUCGCACCCUUCUCUCUUUUUCUCUCCUCCCUCCCUCGGUCCUCUCUCUCUCUAAUCACCAGCGAGCGAGGGGAAAAUAUCCUUGGGUCAUUAGCAGCAUUUCAAAGUCACAGUGUCCUCCAGCAUAUGCUGUUUGACAGGCCCUGCCAAAAGAAUUAGAGUGAGGAAUGAUGGUGCCAUUAUUAGAUGUGGAGCUCAGGGAAGAGUGCUUGAUCCAAGGGAUGGUGGGUUUGGGAGAAGGAGAGGAGCGUAUUUAGUAUUUAAUAGGAUCCCCAUUAGUUCCUACCAAGGCAGCAGCUACUCUUCCUGGGGUGCAAACAGGUAUGAAACAAUUCCAUCACAAAAUGUACAAUAAUAGAAUAUUACAAUGUAUGUGUGUGUAGAGUGUGUGUGUAGAGUGUGUGUAGAGUGUGUGUAGAGUGUAGAGUGUGUGUGUGUAGAGUGUGUGUGUACAGUGUGUGUGUAUAGUGUGUGUGUACAGUGUGUGUGUAUAGUGUGUGUGUAGAGUGUGUGUGUAUAGUGUGUGUGUAGAGUGUGUGUGUAGAGUGCGUGUGUAAAGUGUGUGUGUGUAGUGUGUGUGUAGAGUGUGUGUGUGUAGAGUGUGUGUGUGUAGAGUGUGUGUGUGUGUGUGUAGAGUGUGUGUGUAGAGUGUGUGUGUAGAGUGCAUGUGUAGAGUGCGUGUGUAGAGUGUGUGUGUAGAGUGUGUGUGU
ensembl:lncRNA